UUGGGCCCUAGGUCCAAAUAGAACCAAGCUUGAAAGUUGGAACCGAGUCCAACACUGAGUUCAGGCAUAAACGAACUGGGUCGAAUCUCUAAGUCUAAAAUGCGCAAGUCUCCAACAGUAACGUAACCAAGACUUUGUUCAUAAUCUCCAUUUCGUGUUUCAUUCUCAAGAACGAAAAGAUGAAAAACACGGUUCCAACGUCAAUCAACCUUUGAAAUCCACAUCAAUAUCCACCGUUCACGUUCAAUAUCAUCUUUAUCCAUUGAAACCGAAAACACAAUCGCAACGCAUCGAAGGGGAACACAAACUCGAGACGAAACGCGAAUUGAAAUAAGAAGAACUCACCGGCUUCGACGCGGUGGUAAAAAACCAGGUGGUUCAAAUGGAGAGGAAGCAUGAAAUGAAUGGGGAUGAAGAUGAUGAAAUGAAGAAGAAAAUGGGAAAUGGUUUUAGAAAUUAGUGGUUGACUUUGGUCAACUGUUGGCCAAAAAAUCAACGGUUGACUAAAACUCAACCUUACCAAAAUAUAUAUUUUUUUGUAAUUGUUUAUAUGGAUAUUUGUAAGCUUGGCAUUUGUAAAUGAUAUGAACAAAUUUGAAUGAAAAAUUAUUUAAGGCAAAAUACUUUAAUUUUCAAUUUGAA